rnacentral:rRNA from 1 species
AACGAACGCUGGCGGCACGUUUUAAGCAUGCAAGUCGAAUGGCAGCAGGGGCAACUCUGUGAGAAUGGCGAACGGGUGAGUAACACGUAGGUGAUCUGCCUUGAGGAUGGGGAUAGCCUGUGGAAACACAGGGUAAUACCGAAUGAGCUGACGAGACUUUGGUGUGGUUAGUAAAGGUGCUACGGCACCGCCUUGAGAGGAGCCUGCGGCUGAUUAGCUAGUUGGUGGGGUAAGAGCUUACCAAGGCGACGAUCAGUAGCCGGCCUGAGAGGGUGUACGGCCACACUGGAACUGAGACACGGUCCAGACUCCUACGGGAGGCAGCAGCUAAGAAUCUUCCGCAAUGGGCGAAAGCCUGACGGAGCGAUGCCGCGUGAUCGAUGAAGGUCGAGAGAUUGUAAAGAUCUUUUCUACAUGAGGAAUAAGUCUGGGAGGGAAUGCCCGGAUGAUGACGUUAGUGUAGGAAUAAGCCCCGGCUAAUUACGUGCCAGCAGCCGCAGUAA